ACUCAAAGGAAUAGACGGGGACCCGCACAAGCAGCGGAGCAUGUGGUUUAAUUCGAAGCAACGCGAAAAACCUUACCAAGACUUGACAUCCUGUGCCACACCCCGAAAAGGGUGCUUCCUUCGGGACACAGAGACAGGUGUUGCAUGGUUGUCGUCAGCUCGUGUCGUGAGAUGUUGGGUUAAGUCCCGCAACGAGCGCAACCCUUAUCAUUAGUUGCCAAUAUUAAGUUAGGAACUCUAAUGAGACCGCCGUAGAUAAUACGGAGGAAGGUGGGGAUGACGUCAAAUCAUCAUGGCCCUUACGUCUUGGGCUACACACGUGCUACAAUGGCUAUAACAAAGAGUUGCGAAACCGUAAGGUGGAGCCAAUCUCAAAAAGAUAGUCUCAGUUCGGAUUGAGGGCUGAAACCCGCCCUCAUGAAGUCGGAGUUGCUAGUAAUCCCAAAUCAGCAUGUUGGGGUGAAUGCGUUCCCGGGUCUUGUACACACCGCCCGU
rnacentral:rRNA from 1 species